rnacentral:rRNA from 1 species
CCUACGGGAGGCAGCAGUGGGGAAUUUUGGACAAUGGGGGCAACCCUGAUCCAGCCAUUCCGCGUGAGUGAAGAAGGCCUUCGGGUUGUAAAGCUCUUUCGCAAGGGAAGAAACGUUACGAGCGAAUAACUCGUGAUAAUGACGGUACCUUGAUAAGAAGCACCGGCUAACUACGUGCCAGCAGCCGCGGUAAUACGUAGGGUGCAAGCGUUAAUCGGAAUUACUGGGCGUAAAGCGUGCGCAGGCGGUUUUUGUAAGUCAGGAUGUGAAAUCCCCGAGCUCAACUUGGGAACUGCGUUUGAAACUACAAGGCUAGAAUAUGUCAGAGGGGGGUAGAAUUCCACGUGUAGCAGUGAAAUGCGUAGAGAUGUGGAGGAAUACCAAUGGCGAAGGCAGCCCCCUGGGAUAAUAUUGACGCUCAUGCACGAAAGCGUGGGGAGCAAACAGGAUUAGAUACCCUGGUAGUCCACGCCCUAAACGAUGUCUACUAGUUGUUGGUGGAGUAAAAUCCAUGAGUAACGCAGCUAACGCGUGAAGUAGACCGCCUGGGGAGUACGGUCGNAAAGNUUAAAACUUCAAAGGAAUUGAGGCUUGAGAGNGCGAGACGACGACGAGGAGAGG